AGAGCUCAGAGCAGACCAAACGCCAAUGCAGAAGGCUCAAGAAAGAGGCAAACAGACUAGCCACUGCUCCAGGAUGACUGUGGCUCUUUAUGAGUGAAGAGAAAGGGUGGAGACUGAAGACAGAACUGGGGACAGUGACAGGCUUGGGGAAGAACAGCUGAUUCAGCAGUCCCAAGGGUGACAUCGCAAAAUACAUGGGUGAAGACAACCUAGUGGCCGUGACUUGGAGCACCCUUCCUCACAAUGAAGGCAUUCUGGGCCAGCCUGAAAAACAGCAUGGAAAUAAAUCACCUAAGUACAAGCAGUUUGAUGGGUCCACGUGCCAGCAAGAUAGAGAUACUCAUCAGGAAGUUGGCCAUGCAAGUUUGAAAUUUGAGAGAAGAAUCACAAAAAUGCAAAGGCUGUGCUCAAAUAAAAAUGAACUCCUUUGGUAAA
rnacentral:lncRNA from 1 species